rnacentral:rRNA from 1 species
CCUGGGGAGUACGGUCGCAAGAUUAAAAACUCAAAGGGAAUUGACGGGGGCCCGCACAAGCAGCGGAGCAUGUGGUUUAAUUCGAAGCAACGCGAAGAACCUUACCUGGACUUGACAUCCCUUGCAUAGCCUAGAGAUAGGUGAAGCCCUUCGGGGCAAGGAGACAGGUGGUGCAUGGUUGUCGUCAGCUCGUGUCGUGAGAUGUUAGGUUAAGUCCUGCAACGAGCGCAACCCUUGUUAUUAGUUGCUACCAUUAAGUUGAGCACUCUAAUGAGACUGCCUGGGUAACCAGGAGGAAGGUGGGGAUGACGUCAAAUCAUCAUGCCCCUUAUGUCCAGGGCUACACACGUGCUACAAUGGUAGGUACAAUAAGAGGCAAGACCGUGAGGUGGAGCAAAACUUAUAAAGCCUAUCUCAGUUCGGAUUGUAGGCUGCAACUCGCCUACAUGAAGCUGGAGUUGCUAGUAAUCGCGAAUCAGGAUGUCGCGGUGAAUACGUUCCCGGGCCUUGUACACACCGCCCGUCACACCAUGAGAGCUGGUAACACCCGAAGUCCGUGAGGCAACCGUAAGGAGCCAGCGGCCGAAGGUGGGAUUAGUGAUUGGGGUGAAGUCGUAACAAGGUAGCCGUAGGAGAACCUGCGGCUGGAUCACCUCCUU